ensembl:lncRNA
UAUAAUCCCAGUAGUAACACUGCUGGAUCAAAGGGUAUGCACAGUUUGAUAACUUUUUGAGCAUAGUUCCAAACUACUCUCCAAAAUGGUUGGAUUUGUUCACAACUCCACCAACAAUGCAUCAAUGUCCCAAUUUUCCCGCAUCCCCUCCAACAAUCAUCAUUAUUUUUUCCUGUCAUCUUAGCCAAUCUGACAGGUGUGUAGUGGUAUCUUAGAGUUGUCUUAAUUUGCAUUUCUCUGAUUAAUAAUGACUUGGAGCAUCUUUUCAUAUGAUUAGAAAUAGUUUCAAUUUUUUCAUCUGAGAAUUGUCUGUUCAUAUCCUUUGGCCAUUUUUCAAUUGGAGAAUGGCUUGAUUUUUUAUAAAUUAGAGUUAAUUCUUUAUAUAUUUUGGAAAUGAGGCCUUUAUCGGUUCUGCUCAUUUCACUUAAUAUCAGUUCAUGUAAAACUCUUUAGGUCUCUCUGAUAUCAUCCUUUUGGUCAUUUCUUAAAGAACAAAAAUAUUCUAUAACAUGCAUGUGCCAUAACUUAUUGAUCCAUUCUCCAAAUAAUGGGAAUCCACUCAGUUUCCAGUUUCUUGCCAUUACAAAAAGGAUUGCCAAAAACAUUUUUGCACAUGUGGGUCCCUUUCCCUCCUUUAAGAUUUCUUUGGGAUAUAGGCUCAGUAAAGACACUAGUGGAUCAAAGGGUAGACACAGUUUGAUACUCUUUGGGCAUAGUUCCAAACUGUUCUCCAGAGUGCUUAGAUCCAUUCACAAUUCUACUUACAAUGUACUAGUUUCCCAGUUUUCCCAAAUCCCCUCCAACAUUUAUCAUUAUCUUCUCCUGUCACCUUAGCCAAUCUGACAGGUAGAUAGUGGUAUCUCAGAGUUGUUUUAAUUUGAAAAAAAAAUGUCCUAUUUCUUUUAGGAGUGAAUAUAGUAUUUUUCAUGAGACUAUUCUUUAAAAGUAAAUGUUACAACCCAUGAGAAUUGUCAUAUAAAAUUCUCUUUUCAAUAAGUCAAUAAACAAAAUUUCUUUAACUUUACCCAUCAGAUAGGAAGUGUGUUUAAUACUAGUAAAACAAAGGAAAUAAAAAUAUUUUUGGAUGAAUUUACACAUAAGUUCAUCAUUUGGAGGAUAUCAUCUUUGUAGUUUUUUUUUAAUUGGGGGAUGGAAAAAUCUUAUAUUUCCAUUUCUAUUGUGAAUUAUGCCAGUUGAAGAUUUGUUAGCUUAAAAUUAUACAUUUUAAAAUUAUAGAUAAGAAGGAAUCUUAUAAAUGAUUGAUUCCAACCCACUUAUUUUACAAAUAAAGAAACAAUUUGGAGAAAGGUUAAGUGACUUGCUCAGGCCUACACAACUAUUGAGAGUGUACUAAAAUUUGAAAUAGGGUUUUAUAACCCUAUAGAACCUACCAACCCAGCAACUGAUCCAUAUUAAUAUCAGUUGUAUCCACAUAUAUUAAUUGAUUCAAAUAAAUAAAGAGUUCUCCAUAAUUAUGCAAUUAUUAAAGCAUAACCUGAUCAAUAUUCUAAUCCUGAUACAAUUGUUUCUCAUUAGAACUUGUGCAUAUAAAUUAUACCUUAAGAUGCUUUAAUAAAAGUGCCUUAGAAUUUGCAGAUUAAUUAAUUUGUGAAACUGAAUUGGGGUGGAGAAGAAUGUCAGGAUUGGACAUAAAAAAAUCAAAUGAAAAAAAAAAAAAUCCCUACCUUCAUGAAACAUAUAUUCUAUGAGGAAAGACACCUUCUAAACAAAUUGAAAUAUGUAAGCCAUGGCCUCAAACCUUAAUAUUGUACAGAUCAGAUUAAAUCUUACAGAUUUCUAAAAAUUCUCUUUGAGUAUCUUACAUAUCUCCAUCCUGAAUUUCUCUUAGGAGUCUGAAAAUUUAACUUAUUUUGUUCCCAUAGGAAAAUCCUCAAAGAAUUCUUCAUUUGAAGAAAAUAAUCCUUUUUUUUAAGUCUUUAAUAUCAUCUUCCCCUUUCACAUACAAAAAUAAAGUUAAACAAUUGAGAGAAUUGUAAAUGAAGUACACAUGUAACAUACUCAUUUAUUCAUUAACAGUCCUUAGCAAUUAUGAUCUUUGAUUUGUGUCUUUUGGGGUUCACUUAGCCUUUAUAUUAUCCUUUUUUUCACACUAACAAUCGACUUCUCACCACUUACCAUCCACCCUUGAACACAGUUACAAUAGGACUUUAAUUGGUGAUAUUUAUGCUUCAUAAAGGAACUAUUCCUUGUCAGGUAACAAGUUUACUUACUGUCUUGUCUCACUUGAAAAACAAAUUAAUUAAUCCCUUUUAGAAAAAGAAAUCUUAUAAAAAGGAGAAAAAGCUACUUAUAAAAAAUAUUCAUAGAAGUUCUUUUUGAAUUAGAAAUCAAAGAGAUGCCCAUCAAUUAGGGAAUGGCUAAACUGGCUGUGCUAUUUGAGUGUAAUGAAAUCUUAUUAUUGUGAUAUAAGAAAUGACAGGCAGGAUGAUUUUAGGGAAAAAAAAAUACUUGGAAAAACUUUCAUGAACUGAUCAAUGAUAAAAUGAACAGAACCAGAAUACCAUACCACACACAGUAAAAGCUGCAUUUUUUGAUGAAUACUAUUAAUGGUUUAUCUAAAAGGACUAAUGAUGAAGCAUCUAUCUGAGUCCAAAGAAAGAACUGAUACUGAUUCAAUACAGAGUAAAGCAUGCUAUUUUCCCUCUUCUAUUUUUUCUUUUAUUUCAUCUUGUACAAAAUGACUAAUAUGGAAAUGCUUUUCACAAUGUUACAUGUUUAACUUACAACCGAUAGCUAACCAACUCAGGGAGGGUAGAGGCAAGAAAGAGAUAGAAUUUGAUCUCAAAACUAUAAAUAAAAAUGUAAAAAAAAUAGGAAGAAAAUAAAGAAUACAGAAUGAAGUCACAGUUUUCUUGGACAAUAUUCAUUUUCAUUCUGAGAUAUUUAUGUUUGUUGAAUAAAUUCAUAAUUUAAAAAUAGGAAGCCCAGAUACCCUGUCAUCUUGGCUGAAGAUGUCUUGGGUGUCUCCAUUGCAAGAUGACCAUACUAGAAUUGUGAAAGAUCUUUCCAAACAUGUCUAAAAGUAUACCUUCAGUUAUAGUGAUGCAGUGCCAUUAAUGCUGCUCUGCUCUCUUGCACACUGAGUUUCUGCCCUAAUUAGAUGUGCUGCAGAACCACAUUUCAUUGUCUGAUCUGUAGCAUUUGACUUGAUGUGUAUUUGCUUCCUACUAUCCUAGGAUAAGACAGUCUCCUUAGAAUCUUGACUCUCAAGGACUGUCUUACUGGACUACAGGUCACUUUAGCACAUUUUUGCACAGUAAACAAAAAGUCUAAAAAUAAACACUAUAAAACAGGUGACCAUUUUUUCCUAGAUAAUCUCAUCUUGUUAUACUGGAUUAGUGAAGGAAGAUAAAUCUGAGCUGUUCAGGAAAAAAAAUAGCCUAGAUUCUACUUUAGGUGCAUACCCAUAUAACCUAUAUUUGGCAGUGUGUGUAUGUAUGCUUGGUCCCUCAUCAGGGAGGAGAAAAAAAGGAAAAGAAAAAGAGGAGAGAGAGAGAGAGAGAGAGAGAGAGAGAGAGAGAGAGAGAGAGAAGAGAGAAGAGAGAAUCAAUCAUAUAGAACUUUUCAUUACAUUAGGAAAAAUGGAAGAAAGGAAUAAAAUACUUUAAGCUACCAACUAUGAUCUAGCUUAGCACUCUCAAAUAUUAAUUCAAUCUCUCCUUUUAAGAACCCUAUGAAGUAGGUACUCUUAUUAUCUCAAUAUUACAGAUGAAAAAAAAUGAGUCAGAAAAAAGUGAGAUGGCUAGAGUCCCUUAUCUCAUUAGCAUGUGGGACAGGAUUAAACUCAUAUAUUCCUGACUCCAUAUUUUAUAUCUAGUGUACUGUUAGUUGCCUAUUUGUUAUUAUUUAGUCAUAACUUGAUGAGAAUAAAAACACAGGACAAAUAAAUUUUCAUAGAAGUGGAAUGAAGAAAGAUGGCAAUAUUUGGGGCCUUGGGGAGUGAAAAUUCUUAGGAUUUGCAGUAUAUUGUCCCACAAAGACAGUGCACAGCAUGGGGAAUGUCUUGAUGAGGCAACAAAAAUAUGUACUAAAGGAGGGCAGUGAAAUAAAAUUAAGUUACUGUCAGGAAUGUGGUAGAAGAGGUACUAAUCCAAUGAAUAGGUAUUAAGUAGAUGGUCUAUUGUCACUUAUGUUAGUCCUAAUUUCUUUGGCAUGUUCUCUAUGCAAUAGGGCUAGUUUCUUUUCCAGACAUAAGAAGAUUCCCCUAUGAACUUGCACAGACUCUCUCUCUCUCUCUCUCUCUCUCUCUCUCUCUCUCUCUCUCUCACACACACACACACACACACACACACACAUAUAUCAAGAAUUCUAAUGGUUUAUGAUCAAACAAAUGGGGAAAUUUUUAAUCUCAGUAGAGAGGAGGACUUUCUAGCAGUGAGAGCUGUCCAAAAAUAGAUUGUCUUGACUUGAUAGCUCAUCAGUACUUGGAAAUCAAGUAGACACUGGAUGACUUCUUGGCAGACAUUCUCAAAUAAUGAUCCAUUUCAUGUAAACUCUAGACUAACAUAUGUGACCACCAUUGAUAGCCUUCCAAUUACUAUAGUUUUUGAGUCUGUGAUCAGGAAAAUGGCACAGAAUCAUGAAUGUAAUUCUGCAAUUUAAUUUCUGGUCCACUGGUUCUCAGAUCUUUCUUCUCAGUAUGUUUAUAUUGUUAAAAGAUAUUGAGAAUCUCUCCAAAGAAUUUUUGCCUAGGUGGAUUACCAUACUAGAAAUUUAAAAAAAAAACAUAAUUUAGAAUUCAUAGACCUUCUGAAAGAGGUUCAGAGACGGUCAGGAUUCUCUGGACCACAUUUUGAGAACUACUGAUUUUCAAAUGAGAAAACUGAAAACCAUAAAUUCUAAGUGUCUUAGUUUACUGAAUAAAUCGUGAAUUGCAGAUAAUUGCAGAAAAUGCAGGACAAAUAAGAGUGUGGAAAGAACACUGAUUUCCAAGUUGGAGGACCAGAAUUCAAUUCUUCCUUGUUUGUUUGACCAUAGGAAAUUUAUUUAGAAUCUCUGUGUUUUUCUUUCCUAAUCUGAGAAAUAAAUUUAGUUGGACUAGAGAGAUACUGCUAAAGUCACAUCUGACUCCAUAUAUAUAAAAUCCUGAUACUGCAUGUGAAUAAGUGAAGAGUUAAUGAUAACAACAACAAAAAAACAAACAAACAAAGAAACAAACAAAAAAAAAACACAUCAACAAUAGCCUCCUUCCAUUCUCAACACUACUAUUCAGUAUUUGUAAGAAACACAGUUGGAAAAAAAGUCAGCCCCAUCCCAAUAGGGCUUAUUGAAUAUCUUCUCUAACUCCCUAAUGGAGAGGAAAAGCUAUUACUCACCAAGAUGACUACAAUUUAGAAAAGGAAGUAAUGAGAUUGUCUCAUAUAACUUAAUUCAGUUUAAUUCAGUUCAGUUCAGUUCAAUUCAAUUCAAGAACCAUUUAUUAAAUAUCUACUAGGUACAACUAAUUAAGCUCAAAAUUCAAUGAAGAAUGACACUGUUAAUGCCAAAGUCACCUUGGAGAGUAAAGUUCAAACUCAGAAAUGACAAUGAAUAGCUGUGUCUUAUACAAGACAUUUUGCCUCUGAGAGCCUCAGUUUCCUCUUUUGUUAAAAUGAGAGGGCAGAAUAAGAUGAUCUCUGAAAUUACCUUGUGUUAAAUAUAACAAUAGCUAACAUUUCAAAUUACCUUUAUUUAUGAAAGAUAGAAGAAUCAACUUUCAGUAUAUCUAACUUCUUGUCCAAUAACUUUAGACAUAUCUGUUUUCAGGACCCUUAAGAAUUCUGUGCUUUUUCAUCUGAAGUAGGCGAAGGAGGGAGAAAUUUAAUGAAAUCAUGCUCAGAAAGAAGAUAAAUAUAGCCACUCAAUGGAACUUGUCUGGACCCACAUAAGCAGGAAGGUGGUGAGAGUGGGGAAAGAGUUACAAUAGUAACAGUGUUUUCACAAAUCCUAGCAGAUGGGUUACUGUAAACUGAAAGAAGACAUAUUGCUUUAAGUAUGUCAAAAUACCAGAGAGAAUUGGAAUUGGAAAGCUUUGAUCUUACAAUUACUUGGUAAGAUCAUCUCCAAACUUUGAAUUUAGUUAUUCUUUCUCUCUCUCUCUCUCUCUCUCUCUCUCUCUCUCUCUCUCUCUCUCUGUCUCACACACACACAUGUACAAAUACACAAUGAUAAAUUAUGUUGAGGAAAUAAUAUAUUUUGUCAUUUGACCUAACCAAUAUGUGAAAUUUUACAUUUUCAUUUUUUUUAAUGGUGGCCUCUAUGAUUCUGAUCUCUUGAAAUACUUUGAUGAGAUUUCUCCCAAUGUCCUUUCCAUAUAGAGAAACAAAAAAGAUAGUUGAAUGAAGUCUUUUAAAAACAAACAGCAACUGACAGUCUUGGAUCCUUAAGCCAACUAAUCAAACUUUAAGUAGAUCAAAUUAGCUGUUAAUAUUGCCUUAUUAUUGCUUGAUUGGGAAUGGCGAAGCACAGAUUGGUACAAAUCCCAUCAGAAUUGACUAAAACUCUCAGUGAAUUCUGAAUUUUGAUUCUAGUAUUAGUUAAGAAAUGUGAGUGGUAGAAAUAGACUCACCUUUUCUUUUAAUGACAUGAAACAUUUCAUUUUCUGCUUGGCUGAGACAAACAUUUGGGACAUCGUCAUUAAACCAGGAUUCCUUUGUUCUUCUGUAACUUAUCCAGAAACUGCUACUCACCUAUUACUUUCUGGAGAAAAAAAAUUGGUGAUACUUCCAGGAAAUAUCAGGAGGUAAUUCCUAAUUUUGUUUACAUUUGUUUGAUUGUUGGAUGGGAAGUCAGAUUCCCCCCCCCCCCAAAUUGUGGAUUAACCAUUCAUUGUAUAGCUAUGAGUCUCUGAGCAAGGAACUUAAGCUAUAUUAAUCUCCAUUUCUUCUGAUGUACACAUGACAGUGUUCUCUGUGACAAUCAAUUAAACAAGGCAUAUAUAGAUGUUUCAGAAACUACAAAAAUUUUCAGUUAUAAAUCAUAAUUAUUGGAGUGGUCUAGGGACCCGAGACUGUUGUGAUACGGGAGCCCUCUGCCAGUUGCUGCUGGAUGUCUAACCAGACCUUUAAAAUGUAUUUCUUCCUGUGAGCAUAUGAUGACUGAUGAUGAUACAAGAAGACUGAGAGGUCAUUGCAUUGUCUGACCUCUUCAGUGAGAGGCAGUUGCAUUGUCAGACCUCUCUCCUCUUCUAUCUUGCCCCCAAUUUAUUAUAUUCCCAAUCCACAAGGAACAUCUGCAAAGGCUACUUUGCAACUCCUUCAAGUUUAAGAUUCACAGCUUUGGAGGCUCUUGGAGAGUUGACCUGCCCCUUCACCCACACACGGUCCUUAACACUAGACCAUCCCUGUAGAGUUCUAUUCUUUGGAAUCUUAUCUCUUGUGAUAUUAGUAGCUAGCUUCAAUAUAGUGAUAUAAGUGUUGCAAAGCACGAGAGACCCUAUCUUAUUUGGUCUUCACAACUUCUUCCAAAGAAGAUGGUGUGACCAUUUCAGUUUUAUAGAUGAAGCAAUCCUAGAAAUUACUUUGUAUACAUUUAAACAUUGUCUUUUUUUUAAUAAAUUUAUAGUUUUUUGUUUGUUUGUUUGUUUUUAUUUAUUUAUUUAUUUUUGUAAAACAACUCCUGGCACUGCAGACGUUCUCUGAAACAUCUAAUCUUAGAAAAUUUCCUGAAAGACAAAGGCCAAUCGACUUUCCCAAAGUCACAGUGCAAGGAAAUAUAAAAGGGGUAAUUAAACGAGUUUUCUUAAUGUCAACCCUAACACUGUAUGUUGAAUGCCAUGUACAAUUUCAUUAUAGGACACUGGCUUGUGUUUUUCAUUUUUGCAUUUUAGAUAAUUAGUCAGUGAAGAUAUUUAAUAAAAAACAGAUCUCAUCUGAUUGGAAUCAUUCACCCUACAUACAUAUCAGUCAAUUGCUUACUGGAUAUUAGGGAUACAACAAAGGUGAAAAUAUAAUGCCUAUUCUCAAGUUCACAUCUAAGGGGUGGGUAUGUGUGUAUAUACAUAUCUGCAUACAUGCAUGUGUACAUGUAUACAAGACAGAUGCAAAGUAGGUGAAAGCUACUGGUGGUUGCUACUCUUUGUUCUUGAAGAGUAUUGAAAUCACUAUGUUAAAAUUCAAGUUGCAUUGUGUUCAGCUUUGACAGAUCAGAGCAAUAUGAGCUCAAUAUACUCCCAUCGGUUAGAUACAAACAGUCUAUAUGAAUAUUUAGAAUAGAGAUAUCACUAAAUUUGUACAUCUCAUUUUUCUUUUGAGCUAUUCAGUUCUGUUCUCCUCAGAGCAGAGAACCUUCUUUGUUGAGGAUAUAGAAUACUAGAUGGUCCUUUGCAUGUAUGUACUGUAUCAUACAACCAAUUCCAAAGUUCAUCAGAAAGAUCUUGAAAGUGGCCUUAUACCACUUGUUUAGAUUCCUUUGUAAGCACUCCAUGUGUGAAAUAUCUGUAAAAUAGUCUUUUAGGCACAUUUAUCUUUGGUAAUUGAACAAUAUGGCCAUAAUAUCGUAGUUGUGCUCUCUACAGUAGAGUUGGAAUGCUUGGUAAUUAAGUUUGAGAAAGGAAAUCAAUGUCUAGUACCUUAUGCUGCCAGAUGAUCUUCAGAAUCUUCCUAAGACAAUUUGAAUGGAAGUGCUUUGGUUUUCUGCUAUGAUGUCGCUACCUUGUCGAGGUUUCAAGGCUUUAGUUCCAAAACACACAUUAGACUUUCAAUUAACAUAGUAAGUUCUGUGUUUCUCUGUGUUAUAGAAAUUUACUUGGUAGUUUCUCAUAUCAUGACAAAAGAUAUAAUAGAAGACUUCCAACAAUUUAGAUAGACAUACUGAUGAGAACUUUUAAAAGAUAUGGACCAGAGUUACAUGGAAUGGAUUGGCAUUUUGGGUUUCAAUGUAAGUCAUGAAAUGAAUUCCCUAAUCGAUGAAAUCACAGAUACCUCAAUGUAUUAAAUCACAGAAGAGGUGUAUAUAUGGGUAUGAUUAUAUGUGAAAGUGAGGAAGUGAGGUUGAGAAACCAUGGUGAAGAAGGGGGGGGGGGAAGAAAGGAAAAAGAACAGGAGGGAAGGGGCAUUUUAUAACAUGCAGAGAUAGAUAAACUAGGUUAGUUAUUGCAGUCCUUUUCCAGUCCUUGUCCCUUAACUAAAAUAUGUAGAAAACUAUGAAAUGAAAACAAGAAUAAGGAUUCACUUGGGGAAGAUCCUAUGUAUCCCAUCUGCUAAAGAAUUUUUGAAAAAAAUAAAAAGACUAUAGGGAUGAAACCAAGAAAGAUUCAUAACUUUGCUACUGAAUAUUCUAGUGACAUUUUAAAUGAAUAAUUUAUAACUUUGGGCAACUAAAAGAUGCACCUUUAAGAAAUGCACAAACCAUGGGAAAGCUAUGUAUAUGAUACCUCCAAUGUGAGGUAAAUUUAUUGCUUGGACUCUAUCUACAUUUAAAGGGAUUUAUGCACAGAAGCAGACAAAGUACAUCUCUGUAGCUAUUGCUAGUUUGUAAGAUAACUAAGAACUGCAGAGGAGAAAAAUAUGAUAACCAAAUAAAAUGAUGAAGUUUUUAGGACAAGAAGUUUGCUGGUAUUCGGGGGUAGGUUUGUAUACUUUGUCGGUCCUUAGUUUUGUCUGUGUUGAAUGAAAAUAAUCUGAAUUGAGAUGAAGGGAGGGAUGGAAAAUGGAUGAGUCAGACACUGACUUGAAAAGAUUUCAUCCACUGGACUUUAUUCGCUCAAUCCUUGGGGAGACUCUAUUAAACUUUAUUCAUUUAAUGCAACUUAGGCCCACAGUUAGGAAGAACAUUUGUAUAAAUGGUCUCUUCAUGCCUGAGAGUCUUUUUUUUUCUUUUAAGUUUAGCAAAUUUAAAAGUCACUACAUAGAAUUAGCUCCUCACUUGCCUUAGCUGCUGUUGCACUAGCACCAGUAUUCCUUCUAUUUGUAAGAUCUGAAAUGUUUCUGAUGCAUUUUGUAGCUUCCUUAUGUUUUGUGCUCUCCAGUCUUCAUAUGCUUAUUAACCAAAGAUCAAGAAGAAAUAAAAAACAAAACAAAACAAAACAAAACAUGGGAAUCAUGUGUUCAGGGCCACAUGGGAAUCCAGGAGGGAGGAAGGAAAUUUAAGUCUCUCCUCCUUUUUCUCCCUCAUUCUCAUUCGCAGAAAUUGAAAGUAGCUCUUGAUUCACUCCUUGUGAAGAAAAAAAAAAAGAACAAAACUGAAAGAGAAAUGACCUGUUAAUUUGGCCUUCAAAAUCAACUUCUAGCUUUUGAACUAAUUUUCAGAGUUUUUAUUAUUACACGCUGAUUGACUUGCAAUCACUCAUUGAAUAAAAAUUUUCUCUAAAGCUCCAAAAGAUAUGUUGACACCAGCAAAGGAUAUCUCAACAUGGAAUUCUAGAGCAUGCUCUAAGGACUGGGUUCUCAUUGGCCAGACCCAAGUCCCUUUCCAUUAUACUUUAAUUUAAUAGGAUUAUAAAUAGAAUUAAUUAUAUACUGUUUGAUUAAAAAUCAUUUAACCUGUCAUAUUCUAUGUUAAUUUAUCGGGGGCAAUCUCUUUAAAAUUAAAAUUGAAGAAGAAUAAUGAUGAAGACAAUCAAUCAGCAUAAAAUUUAGAACUUUUUCCAGCAUUGGAAAAUGUAGAAAACAUACUAAGUUUUGGAAUCAAGGAUUUGCGGUGUAAUUGAACAGUUAGAUGGCAGGGCAUAGAUGGUUGUGUGUAGAGUCAGGCAAAUUCCUUUGAGUUCAAAUUUGGCCUCAUCUGCUUAGGAACUAUAUGAUCUUUUGAAAGUCACUUGAUCCUCCUUGACUCAGUUUCCAAACCUAAGCUGGAAAUCUGAAUUUAAAAUUUCAAAUCCAAGCUUUGCAGAUAUGGGAUAGAAAAGGAAAAGGCCAACCACUCCAGUAUCUGCCAAGAAAUACCCAAAUGCAGUUCUCAAAGAGUUGAAUGUGACUGAAGUCUCUAUACUGCCACUUAAUAACUAUGUGACUAUAAGUAAAGAACUUCUACAUUGCCUUAUGUCUUUGCUAUAAAAUAUGAACCUGAACUCAGUGGUCUUAAUAAAUCUUUCUAAUUAUAAAUACUAGCAUCUAUUAUUUCUUAAUGUUUUUAGAAAACAUUCACUCCUAGUCUUUGGUUGGAUGCCUGAGUAUUUGCUUAUGAAAUUUUCUGUCAUAGGCAGGAUCCAUCUUUUAAAAGAUGAUUUAAAAAUGCAGACACACUUUUCUUCCCCUGCUUCAGAUUUUCCUCAUAAUAAACAAAUGAUAUGCAUAUGGAACAGAUAUUGAUUUUAAUAAUUUCUAUUCCAGACAUCGCUUUGUUUUUUUUUGUUUACUACAGAUUAAGGAGGAUUUUGGAUUUAUCCAAGAGGACUGUCCUCCUUGUCAAUGGUGAUGUCCUUGACUCUAUGCAGGAGUAGAUUGAGAGGGCAUAGACCAUUUAACAUGACAUUAUCUUCCAUAAAAAAGGGUGGAAUUUCUCCACAGAUGGAAAGAUGAUUAUGACCCAAUUAUAAAGGACUAUUCAAAAUCAUUAGAAUUAUUAGCACUGACAUGAUUUAGCCCACCUCUUUGAAGUCUCUGAGCAGAAAGUAUACUAUCACUUGUAUGUUACAAUGGGAAUCCCUUUUCCAGGAUGCCUUUGACAAAAUUGUGACUUCUCUUCCCACAAGAAUAUCCUGUGACUCCAUGAAACGAACUAAAUAAUUAUUUUGUCCAUAUGGGAAUUAGGUCUAUUUUUAUUAUUUUAUUUCAAAAAAAGCUAUCACAAAUAUUAUUAAUAAUUGAAAUUAUUCUAAUAAUCUGAUGUUAAAAAUAACAGCACUUACAUUACUAAUAUGUUUUUAAGAUAAUUAAAUCAAUAAACAUUGAGUGCCUACUGUGUGCUAGGCACUGUCUCUGUUAAGCUCUGGAGAUAUUAGGGGUAGGGUUGGGAAUUGGACAAUAACAAGAAAAACCAUAGUCAAUACCUUCAAGAAACUCACAGUCUGAAUAGAGACAAUAUAAAUUUUAAUUGUUUAAGUUAUCCUAUUAUGCAUUUUGUAUUUGUAUAUAAUGAAAAUAUUAAUGGAGCACAGCAUCACAAAAGCUGGUAUCUCUGAAGUUAAAGAGGAAUCUUUUAGGUGUUAGAGUCCUGGGCCUGGCAUCAGGAAAAACCAAGAUCAAAUAGACAAAUCCAGGCUCAGAUACUUUCCAGCUGAAUUGCCUCUUGAAAAGUAUAAAGUGACAACUUCCAUGGAAAUUAGUUUCAUCCCUAGUAAAAUGAGAAUAGCAGGUUUGUGUUGAGAUUCCUCCCCCCACCCCAUCUCUCUUCUCUUCUCUUCUCUUCUCUUCUCUUCUCUUCUCUUCUCUUCUCUUCUCUUCUCUUCUCUCUCUCUCUCUCUCUCUCUCUCUCUCUCUAUAUAUAUAUAUAUAUAUAUAUAUACACACACACACAUACACACACAUUGUAAAGAAAUAUAAAUAAUACUUAUUAUAAAAGCAACUGAUCAUCAUCAUUGAUAACGAUAACAACAUAUCUAAUAUGUGAUCAUCCAGACACCAAGGGCAAAUUGUCAUUGACAUCUCCCAAAUUGGCCCAUUUUACUUUUAGUCAGUUCUUCUUGUUACCUUUUCUUUUUUUUAUGGGAAAAUUUUAUUUUAUUUUUUUAAUUAUAACUUUAUUAACAGAACAUAUACGCAUGGGCAAUUUUUUUACAACAUUAUCCUUUGCACUCACUUCUGUUCCAACUUCUUGUUACCUUUUCAUAUGCACACACUUUUCAGUGAAUAUAAAUUUAUCUAUCUAUCUAUCUACCUAUCUACCUACCUAUCUAUCUAUUUAAAUAUGUCUUUCUAACAAUAUGUCUGUCUGUUUAUGUCUCUUUCUUUCUUUCUACCUAUCUAUCUUUUUAUUUAUCUAUCUAUGACCUUCAAAUGUUCUUUCUAUCUGUCUAUGGUCAGGUACCUUCCUUUUCAAUUGUGGCUCAUACUACUUUUCCUGAAAUCUUACUCUAUUUGAUGUUCUUGUUCAACAAAAUUUGUUCAGAACAAAUAGAUAGAACCUUAGCCAUUUUCUGCACUAAAUCUGUUCCAUGACAUUGACGCAGAGGACCAUGUGUGAACAAAUAAAUGGAAAUUUUAUUUUUCAUAGGUUAUACCUCCAGAUAUUUGAUUCUAUUUAAAGCAGAUCAUUUUGAGAGAGUAAACAUAUUAAGAAAAGGGGAUACUUUUUAAAUCCUUCAAAAAUGACUUCAUUUGUGUGAUUAAUUCACCAGUAUUUGCUUUCCAGUUUUCAUAUUUUUGAAGAAAAAGAGGAAUACAAAUAAAAGAAAGAAAAGAUAUUUUAUAUGAUAAUGGGGAAAAAUGAAUGAAGUACCCUUGAACUUUUUCAUGGUUCAUAUGUCACAGCAGAAAUUAUGGUAUGAAAAGUGAAUAAAAGUGUAGCAGGGUGACAGAUGUAUAAGAAAAUUAAAUUUCUUUUGCACAUGAAUAUAAAAUUAGAAGAAUAGAUAUUUUACGUUUUGAGAAGUGUUUCAGGUGCUUCGAUGUUAUUUCUGAGAUUGGCUACUAUAUGUUAAUCUAACAGCAGGUGAAGUGUUAAAUAUGUCCUCCUUUAACAGCAAAUUCUCUUUCCAUUAAAGUCAAGGUCCUGACCUUAAAAUUUUAUGGAUUAAUAUUGAAAUGUAAAUGACUUAUCCAUAUUAAUUUUUUAUCCUGCAUAAAUCUCUCAUAAAAUUCUGUUUUUUUUUAUCUUUGCUAUUUUUAAUACAAUGCCAACUACAGAUGAGGGGAAUAUCCAGAUUAAACCUUUGCACCGGGCUAAUAAAAAUCCUACCUGUCAUUAAAGAGAAUCCUUUACUAUUCAAAGUCAUCUGGGAAAUGCUUUCUCUUGGCAACAGCUCUGCUGAAUCUCCUAGUGCCCCAAAUAGUUCAUCUUGAUUUACUUGUUGAUUCCUCUUUUCCUCCUAACUGUAAAUGUUUCUGUCAUCAGUUUUGCUUUCUUUCCUCUCUUCAUUCUCUCUCUUGAUUUUAUCACUUACUUCCAUGGAUUCAUAAGCUCUUGAUAAUGAUAACUGCUGCUCAGUCAUUUCUGUUUCAUUGUGACCCCUUUGGGGUGGUACUCUUGGCAAAGGUACUGGAGUGGUUUGCCAUUUCCUUCUCUGGCUGAUUUUACAGAUUAGAAAACUGAGGCAAACAUGGUUAAAAGAUUCACCUAGGGCCACAUAACCAGUGAGUGUCUGAGACAGAUUUCAAUCAGGGAGAGUUAUCUUCUAGAAUCCAGGUCCUGCAUUCUAUCCAAUGUAUCAUCUAGCUGUCCCCUUUUCAUAUCAAUCAUGGAUUUCUGUCAAUUCUACAAUAGCCAUUCCAUCACAGAAGGAUUAAAUCUCAUUGAUGUUAGAGAUUAUCUCUUUUUGUGGCUAUAUUCCCAGAACCUAGAAUCUAUGUUUCUGCCACAGAACCACUUUAGAAAUACUCGUUGAUUGAUUGAUCAUAGAUUUGGUGUCAGAGGAGACCUUAAAAGCUAUCUGUUCUAGCCUACUCAUUUCACAGAUGAGAGAACUAGGGACAGAUAAUUAAAGCUAUUUAUAUGAAUGCACCUAUAUCUCACCACAAGAAUUUCUUUAAAAUCAUGAAUUCACUUUUUCUUUUCAUAAUUUUUUUUCUUUUGCCGCUAGCACAGUGUUUCAUAAAUUUAUUUUAUUUUUUUAUUUAAUAGCCUUUUAUUUACAGGAUAUAUACAUGGGUAACUUUACAGCAUUAACAAUUGCCAAACCUCUUGUUCCAAUUUUUCACCUCUUACCCCC